GGGGCUAUAGCUCAGCCGGGAGAGCGCCUCGGCUUUGCACAGCAGGAGGUCAGCGGUCUGAUCCCGCUUAGCUCCACCA
rnacentral:tRNA from 1 species